UACGGGGGGGGCAAGCGUUGUUCGGAAUUACUGGGCGUAAAGGGCUCGUAGGCGGCCAACUAAGUCAGACGUGAAAUCCCUCGGCUUAACCGGGGAACUGCCUCUGAUACUGGAUGGCUUGAGAUUGGGAGAGGGAUGCGGAAUUCCAGGUGUAGCGGUGAAAUGCGUAGAGAUCAGGAGGAACACCCGUGGCGAAGGCGGCCCCCUGGGUCGGCCCUGACGCUGAGGCGCGAAAGCGUGGGGAGCGAACGGG
rnacentral:rRNA from 1 species